rnacentral:rRNA from 1 species
CGAAAGCCUGACGGAGCAAUACCGCGUGAGGGAAGAAGGUCUUUGGAUCGUAAACCUCUUUUCUCAGGGAAGAAGUUCUGACGGUACCUGAGGAAUAAGCCUCGGCUAACUCCGUGCCAGCAGCCGCGGUAAUACGGAGGAGGCAAGCGUUAUCCGGAAUUAUUGGGCGUAAAGCGUUCGCAGGUGGCCAUUCAAGUCUGCUGUCAAAGACCAGAGCUCAACUCUGGGUAGGCGGUGGAAACUGAAUAGCUAGAGUGCGGUAGGGGUAGAGAGAAUUCCCAGUGUAGCGGUGAAAUGCGUAGAGAUUGGGAAGAACAUCGGUGGCGAAAGCGCUCUACUGGACCGCAACUGACACUCAGGGACGAAAGCUAGGGGAGCG